rnacentral:tRNA from 1 species
GGAGGGGUGGCUGAGCGGUCGAAAGCACUGGUCUUGAAAACCAGCGAAGGGCAACCUUCCGUGGGUUCGAAUCCCACCCCCUCCGCCA